AUAACGACUCUCGGCAACGGAUAUCUCGGCUCUCGCAUCGAUGAAGAACGUAGCGAAAUGCGAUACUUGGUGUGAAUUGCAGAAUCCCGUGAACCAUCGAGUCUUUGAACGCAAGUUGCGCCCGAAGCCGUUAGGUCGAGGGCACGCCUGCCUGGGCGUCUCACA
rnacentral:rRNA from 1 species